rnacentral:rRNA from 1 species
CGGGGGGGGCAAGCGUUGUUCGGAAUUACUGGGCGUAAAGGGCUCGUAGGCGGCCAACUAAGUCCGACGUGAAAUCCCCAGGCUCAACCUGGGAACUGCGUCGGAUACUGGAUGGCUUGAAUUCGGGAGAGGGAUGCAGAAUUCCAGGUGUAGCGGUGAAAUGCGUAGAUAUCUGGAGGAAUACCGGUGGCGAAGGCGGCAUCCUGGACCGACAUUGACGCUGAGGAGCGAAAGCUAGGGGAGCAAACGGGAUUAGAUACCCCGGUAGUCCUAGCCCUAAACGAUGAAUGCUUGGUGUGACGGGUAUCGAUCCCUGUCGUGCCGAAGCUAACGCAUUAAGCAUUCCGCCUGGGGAGUACGGUCGCAAGGCUG